GGAAAUGCUCGAACAGCCAAGCACGGAGAAUUGAAACAGAGUUCUCAGGCAACCCUCUUUGAGGCCUCCAAGCAUGCUGCUGAAUCAUACCAAGCUGCUGAAGAGCCCUCUGUUGCCUUAACUGCUGGUCCACAUAUCGGAGACGAGUGAUUCCAACUCCUUUGUCAUUUCCAGAAUUUUCAUGCUCUCCUAGGCUUUUACGGGUAGCUCUGACUUGACCAGCUAUUGCAUCCCGCAAGCACCGAAAAUGACGGGAUAUAGUCUGGAGAGCAAGUGCAGUAUAUGGUUUAGAUGCCCCACAUCCAGCUAUCACAUCAAAUGAUGACAC
rnacentral:misc_RNA from 1 species